rnacentral:precursor_RNA from 1 species
UUCGUGAUGCGGUUGGGGGAGGGACCUCUUUCCAUUAUCCUAUCUGAAAUCCGGGAUGAAUGAGAUAGAGAGGUGUCAGGAUUUUUUGCAUCCAAA